rnacentral:rRNA from 1 species
AGCAGCCGCGGUAAUUCCAGCUCCAAUAGCGUAUAUUAAAGUUGUUGCAGUUAAAAAGCUCGUAGUUGAAUUUCGGGAUCAGUACGUUGGUCGUGCCUCGGUAUGUACUGGUGUUACUGAUUCCUCCCUUCUGACGAACCGUCAUGCCAUUUACUUGGUGUGGCGGGAAAUCAGGACUGUUACUUUGAAAAAUUAGAGUGUUUAAAGCAGGCUCGCGCUUGAAUACAUUAGCAUGGAAUAAUGAAAUAGGACGUUAAUCCUAUUUUGUUGGUUUAUAGGAUCGACGUAAUGAUUAAUAGGGAUAGUUGGGGGCAUUAGUAUUCAAUUGUCAGAGGUGAAAUUCUUGGAUUUAUUGGAGACUAACUACUGCGAAAGCAUUUGCCAAGGAUGUUUUCAUUAAUCAAGAACGAAAGUUAGGGGAUCGAAGACGAUCAGAUACCGUCGUAGUCUUAGCCAUAAACUAUGCCGACUAGGGAUCGGAUGAUGUUAAUUUUUAAUGACUCAUUCGGCGCCUUACGGG